AAUGACAGGGUAUUUCAGUUGAAUGAAUUUGCCUGUUAAUUAAUUGUGUAAAAAGGAAUGUUUAAGAACAAUAGUUAAAAUUCUGGCAAAUCGUUUAAGACAAUAAGUAUAGGAGCAUUACUCCUUCUUUCUCAGCAAAAUCUUGAUUGUAACAGCUAUCCUAAAACUAAUCGACUUUUGUUAAAUUCAGAUUUAACUAAAUCCAAAAAAUUUUUAUAAUCAAAACUCCAAAAAAAUGGUUUGAAGACCCGUUUUAAACCAUAAACAAUAAUGUAAAAGAAGGACUAUUAAUUUUUAAUACAUAUUACACGAGAACGCUUUUCCGGAAAUGUUGUGGACCUCCGUAGAAGACAACUUGAUUUGACUUCCAUUCCGCAACACCAGAUAGGCAUUGGCACACCACUCAAACCAAACCCGCAUACCGUCCGUCAAUCGCCACAUGUGAAAUUCCAAUUGGCUGUUUUCUGGGACGUACAUGGGUUUCUAGGAAAUAUUAGUAUACAGUGCAACGUAAAAUAUAGUAACUUACCUUAAUGGGCAUAUAAAUAGGGAACCAUGAAAACAUGUCAGGAGACUUCGCUUCCAUAGUUGCUGGCAUAAUUGAAAGAGAAAUAUCCUUAUAUAAUGUAGCUUCAAAAUAUCCUGCAAAACCGUGAAGGAUUCCAGGACUAGAGGCCUGAAAACGAACACUAGCAAAACGUUUGUUAUGCAAGUUUUUAGUAUAAACCUCACUAUCUUUGUUUGGGUGAUGGAAGGACCAAAGGGACUGAAAACGGAACUCAUCAUCUGCAGCCAAAAAGUCAAAUGAGUUCAUUAAAACCACGUACUGUCUUUCAAAAGCAUUUGGGUCAUUCAUAUUACGAGCUUCAGACCAUAGCUUAGGAGACAUAAUAGGAGUAACAUAGGAGAUGUAAGAAGAUGGAAUGCAUAUCCCAGUUUCUUCAUCAAGCACAUGUUGUACACCAUCUAGACACUCCGGACUAAGUUCAUUGUCUCCCAUACUACCCAAAAGUUCACUAACAAGGAUGUCAAUUUUAUAAUCAGGAUUCCAUGUUCUCAUAUCUCCAAAUACUAGAGUAACUUUGCCAGCCCAAUCCUGGCGGUUUCUCAUCAAUAGCAUGGAAAAAGCGUUAGGAUUUUUCUCAAGGGCGAUCAUAUCAACCGUUCUAGAUGAAGAAAUUGCCGCACGUAAAGCACAGUCGACUAAUGGACCUCUUCCCGCACCCACAACGGCAAUUCGCGUGACAGAAGAUUCGUCUCUAUCCAUCAACGCAGAAAAAAUUGCUUGCUCAUACUGGGCGUACUUAACGGGAUCUCGCUCAAAUAUUUCAUAAGUAAUGUUUUCCAAAUUGUAGCUCAAUGGUUGAAGAGGAACUUGCAGAUAGUCUUUAUAAGAAUCCGCGAGAUCUUCUACAAGUGGAGCUGGAGGCUGUGAAUCAAAGAGGUGCUUCAUAUAUAUGCUGUAGUCGGGGGAAUCACCUAUUUUCUCGGGUGCGUCAUUAUCCCAAAGUAAAAUUCGAGGAUUGAGACGUAGAUAUAAAGCAUAAAUAGCCCUCAACUUACGACCAAGUACUGGAUAGCCGUUGGGAUUAGGAACGAAAGCCAUACAUGACAUAGUAAUCAUCUCUAUCGGUUCCGCGUACCAUCGAUUUACUAGCUCGAUUGGGGGUGAACAAGCGGGAGGUAGCUCUAAGGCCACCUUCAAUCUAGGGUGAUAACCACAUGCUGAGCGAAUUGUGUCCCACAUUUUCCAUGUCUCAAAAUAGUCUUCAUGACCACUUUCGAUUGCCAAUUGUACCAAGAAUUUUAGAUUCAUUGUUGAGUUUAAAGCAGAAGAUACAGCUCUCGCAUAACGCAUAACGUUCAUUGGUGAAGUUGGACCAUUUAGGAUGAUUGAAGAUAACCCACAAUAAGAAGCAUAUGAUGCUUCCUUUAAUAACACUUCUUCUGAUCGAUCAGCGAUUAGUGUGUCUUCAGAAUCUAACUCCAGCCAAGCUGAGGAUAAACCGACCACCUUGUGCACAUUUUCUAUAGUAAAAUUGGUUAAUAUAAAUUUUCUUUCAAAUUUGAAACAUACCCUCAGGGUGAUAAGCUACUUCAUCGUCGAGGAAUUCCUGCAAACGCUCUGACGGAGCUAGAGCUUCAACUCGUAGCUUUAAACCUUCACCACUUAACGGAACUCCAACAAACUCAAAACCCUCUUCCAAAGACAAGGAAAUGGUCCCCUCUGAACAAACUAUUCCUAGAGUGGGCGUUUUAGAAUUCAUCGGCGGAACUGGCAAUGGGUAAAUACUGUACUGUGGAAUACGGCCAUCCCGCAAUAACAUACGGUAAGGGUUGGGACCUUGUGUUGCAAAAACAAAAAAAAAUUGUUUAGUUGAGUAGCUAGCUUAUUGUUUGUGAGUGUUUUAAAUUUCAACUUGGUUAUUUAAUUAAUGAAUUUG
rnacentral:lncRNA from 1 species